CCCCUCUCAGGGUCGCACCUGGAGAGUUUCCAGUACCCUACCAGUCUCGGCUACGGGAGGGACAGUCAAGCAGAGGCCUACCCAUUCCUUUCCUAGUUUGGCCAGUGGCUAGCGAGUGGAAGGCAAUGUGGUACAGGU
rnacentral:snoRNA from 1 species